rnacentral:rRNA from 1 species
CCUACGGGAGGCAGCAGUGGGGAAUUUUCCGCAAUGGGCGCAAGCCUGACGGAGCAAGACCGCGUGAGGGAGGAAGGCUCUUGGGUUGUAAACCUCUUUUAUCAGGGAAGAAGAUCUGACGGUACCUGAUGAAUCAGCAUCGGCUAACUCCGUGCCAGCAGCCGCGGUAAUACGGAGGAUGCAAGCGUUAUCCGGAUUUAUUGGGCGUAAAGCGUCCGCAGGUGGUUAUUCAAGUCUGCUGUUAAAGCGCGAGGCUUAACUUCGUACAGGCAGUGGAAACUGGAUGACUGGAGUAUGGUAGGGGUAGCGGGAAUUCCCAGUGUAGCGGUGAAAUGCGUAGAUAUUGGGAAGAACACCAGCGGCGAAAGCGCGCUACUGGGCCAUUACUGACACUCAUGGACGAAAGCUAGGGGAGCGAAAGGGAUUAGAUACCCCUGUAGUCCUAGCUGUAAACGAUGGGUACUAGGUGUUGACCGUAUCGACCCGGUCAGUGCCGUAGCUAACGCGUUAAGUACCCGCCUGGGGAGUAUGCACGCAAGUGUGAAACUCAAAUGAAUUGACGG